rnacentral:rRNA from 1 species
UUCAUACGGUACCUUCAAAUCCCUACACGUAGAGACAAUUAUUCCCGUAAAAAAGCAGUUUACAACCCAUAGGGCCGUCAUCCUGCACGCGACAUGGCUGGUUCAGGCUUGCGCCCAU